rnacentral:rRNA from 1 species
AGUGAACGCUGGCGGUAGGCCUAACACAUGCAAGUCGAACGGCAGCACAGUAAGAGCUUGCUCUUACGGGUGGCGAGUGGCGGACGGGUGAGGAAUACAUCGGAAUCUACUUUUUCGUGGGGGAUAACGUAGGGAAACUUACGCUAAUACCGCAUACGACCUACGGGUGAAAGCAGGGGAUCUUCGGACCUUGCGCGAUUGAAUGAGCCGAUGUCGGAUUAGCUAGUUGGCGGGGUAAAGGCCCACCAAGGCGACGAUCCGUAGCUGGUCUGAGAGGAUGAUCAGCCACACUGGAACUGAGACACGGUCCAGACUCCUACGGGAGGCAGCAGUGGGGAAUAUUGGACAAUGGGCGCAAGCCUGAUCCAGCCAUACCGCGUGGGUGAAGAAGGCCUUCGGGCUGUAAAGCCCUUUUGCUGGGAAAGAAAAGCAGCAGGUUAAUACCCCGCUGUUCUGACGGUACCCAAAGAAUAAGCACCGGCUAACUUCGUG